GAUGAACGCUGGCGGCGUGCCUAACACAUGCAAGUCGAACGAAGUUAAACGCUGAAUUGAUGGUAGCUUGCUAUUGGAUUUUCUUGUUUAACUUAGUGGCGGACGGGUGAGUAACACGUGAGCAACCUGCCUUUCGAGAGGGGAUAACGGACUGGAAACGGUCGCUAAUACCGCAUGACAUAGUUCGAGUGGCACUCAACUUGGAUAUCAAAGGAGCAAUCCGCUGAAAGAUGGGCU
rnacentral:rRNA from 1 species